rnacentral:rRNA from 1 species
UACGGGGGGGGCAAGCGUUGUUCGGAAUUACUGGGCGUAAAGGGCUCGUAGGCGGCCAACUAAGUCAGACGUGAAAUCCCUCGGCUUAACCGGGGAACUGCGUCUGAUACUGGAUGGCUGGAGUUGGGAGAGGGAUGCGGAAUUCCAGGUGUAGCGGUGAAAUGCGUAGAUAUCUGGAGGAACACCGGGUGGCGAAGGCGGCAUCCUGGACCAACACUGACGCUGAGGAGCGAAAGCCAGGGGAGCAAACGGG